UAAGGAAUAUUGCGCAAUGGGCGAAAGCCUGACGCAGCGACGCCGCGUGAGGGAAGAAGGCCUUCGGGUCGUAAACCUCUGUCAUUUGCGAUCAACCCUCAUUAUUUAAAAGAUGGUGAGCUGAUAGUAGCGAAAGAGGAAGGGACGGCUAACUCUGUGCCAGCAGCCGCGGUAAUACGUAGGGGGCGAGCGUUGUUCGGAUUUACUGGGCGUAAAGAGCGCGUAGGUGGUUCGACAAGUCGGAGGUGAAAGCCCUCGGCUCAACCGAGGAUCCGCGUCCGAUACUAUCGAACUUGAGUGCAGGAGAGGAGAGCGGAAUUCCGAGUGUAGCGGUGAAAUGCGUAGAUAUUGGGAAGAACACCGGAGGCGAAGGCGGCUUGCUGGGCAGCAACUGAUGCUGAGGCGCGAAAGCCAGGGGAGCAAACG
rnacentral:rRNA from 1 species